rnacentral:rRNA from 1 species
AAAACAUGUCUUUUUGAAAAUAAUAAAAAGUCUAAUCUGCCCACUGAAUUUAUUUAAAGGGCUGCAGUAUAUUGACUGUACAAAGGUAGCAUAAUCAAUAGUCUUUUAAUUGAAGACUUGUAUGAAUGAUUUGAUGAAAUAUGAACUGUCUCUUUUUUAAAAAUAAAAUUUAAUUUUUUAGUUAAAAAGCUAAAAUAAUUAUAAAAGACGAGAAGACCCUAUAGAGUUUUAUAGUUAUUUAAUUUAAAAAUUUUAUAUAUAAUUUAAAUUUAAAAUUAAUUAAUUAUUUUAUUGGGGUGAUAGAAAAAUUAAAAAAACUUUUUUUAAAAAUUUAACAUUAAUUUAUGAAAUUAUGAUCCAUAAUUUAUGAUUAAAAGAAUCAAUUACCUUAGGGAUAACAGCGUAAUUUUUUUUUUUAGUACAAAUAARAAAAAGAGUUUGCGACCUCGAUGUUGGAUUAAGAUAAAAUUUAAAUGCAAAAGUUUAAAAUUUUUGAUCUGUUCGAUCAUUAAAAUCUUACAUGAUCUGA